UACAACGGGUAGUGAAUGGAGAAUAGAGGGUAGAACUUAGCUCUCAUCAAAGAAGAAGGAAAAGAAACACAAAAGCGGGGCAAGGUAGCCCGGUCCACUAAUUUCUAUUCCCUAUUCUCUAUUUACUAUCAGUGGCGGACGGGUGAGUAACACGUGAGCAACUUGCCUACCUGAGGGGAAUAACACAGAGAAAUUUGUGCUAAUACCUCAUAAUGUAUCGUGACGGCAUCGUCGUGAUACCAAAGAUUUAUCGCAGGUAGAUAGGCUCGCGUCCGAUUAGGCAGUUGGUGAGGUAACGGCUCACCAAACCAACGAUCGGUAGCCGGACUGAGAGGUUGAACGGCCACAUUGGAACUGAGAAACGGUCCAGACUCCUACGGGAGGCAGCAGUGGGGAAUAUUGGGCAAUGGGCGAAAGCCUGACCCAGCGACGCCGCGUGAGGGAAGAAGGUCUUCGGAUUGUAAACCUUUGUUGAAGGGGAAGAAGAAAGUGACGGUACUGUACGAAUAAGUCCCGGCUAACUACGUG
rnacentral:rRNA from 1 species